rnacentral:rRNA from 1 species
CGCGUAGGCGGCUUGGCAAGUCAGGUGUGAAAUCCCCGAGCUUAACUUGGGAAUUGCAUCUGAAACUGUCGAGCUUGAGUCCUGGAGGGGAUAGCGGAAUUCCCAGUGUAGCGGUGAAAUGCGUAGAUAUUGGGAGGAACACCUGCGGCGAAGGCGGCUAUCUGGACAGUGACUGACGCUGAGGCGCGAAAGCUAGGGGAGCGAACG